GCGCCCCCUGCCCCCGAAGCUGGCUGGAAGGAAGGUGGGAGACACCUGUUGGGUGGCUGAGAGCGGCAGAGCCCACAGGGGCCUCUCCCCAUGCGCCCCGCCCGCCCUGUCCGGCUCGGGUCCCGCCCCCGCGGCCGCCGCAAGCAACGCGGCGAGUGAGCGCACAGCGGCCAGAGGAGCGCAGGGCGGCGGGAGCGCACCGCGGGGACCCAGCCGAGGCCAGGGCCGCCAGGGAGGCGGGCAGAGCAAAGGCAGCGCCGUGGAGACGCCGGGGGCAGCGGGCCACGCCAGGCAGGUGAGUGCGGCCGCGGGGCCCCCGGAGCGAGGGAGCGGGGCGUCGCGACUCCGCCGCCUCCUGCCCAUGCGGUCUCGUGCCCGUCCCAGGCUCUGCCCCACUGCCCUCCAUCCCGGCGACUCCUUGGUCCCUGUCCUCUGCCCCUCUCUCCGGCUGUUUUCCCCGUCCUGUCUCAGUCGGUCCCUCUCUAUUUCACUAUCUCUUUCUAAUUUCUCUUUUCUGUCUGUUUCCUGCUGUCUUGGUCUUUUCCUGUCUCUCAACACCUGCCUCACUAUUUGUCUAUCUCCGCCUCUGUCUCUCCGUUUCUGUCCGUCUCUGAGUUACCUGUCACUUAGGUCUUUUAUCUCUUGCUCCUCUACCUCUCUUACCCUCCCUGUCUCUCUACCCAAUAUUCUAUCUCUCUCCAUCUCUGUCUCUCUACCCUGUCUCUGCCUGAUAUUUCUGCCUCUCUGCAUCUUGGUCCCUCUCAGUCUCUGUGUCACCCCACUUCUUUCUCUCCUGUCACCCUGUUCCAUCUCUAUUUUCACAUCUUCCUGUCAUUGUCUCUGUCGGACAUCCCCCCUUCUCCUUUUCUUUCUCUCUCCCUCCCUUCACCAUUUCCCGAUGUCUCUUGGUCCCUGUCACUCUCUCUGAUCUGCUCACUCUUCCAGUCCUCAGUCAAUGGCCAUUUCUGAUUCCCGGGGUCUGGUCCUGUUUCUGUUCACCUCUGGGAAAGCCAUCUUUCUGCCUCUUUCCUUGUGACUCCUGCACUUCCCUGAAUCCAUGACCACCUCCCCCUGUGUUGGGGGCUAUGGGGGCAGCAGGGCCCAGCACCCAUAAUUCCCUCCCCCACAGGCGGCCCUUUCCUCGGGGUCCCGCCUGGUACCAGGGCCCCCUUCAGCUGGGGGACUGCGCCUGGAAGCUGUCAUGGAGGCCCUGCAGAAGCAGCAGGCAGCUCGGCUGGCCCAGGGGGUGGGGCCAUUGGCCCCUUCACGCUCGCUGCUGCCACCCGGGCCUCCCCUGCCUGACCACCGGACCCUACAGGCCCCUGAGGGGGCCUUGGGGGAGGUUGGGACUGAGGAAGAGGAAGAUGCUGAAGAUGAGGAGGAGGGGGAGGAAGCCAGGGCAGAGGAGGAGGCAGCUGAGGAGAACCAUCCAGGGGCCCAGGGCCCCAGCUCACCUUCUAGCCAGCCCCCUGGACUCCAUCCCCACGAGUGGACCUACGAGGAACAAUUCAAGCAGCUGUAUGAGCUCGAUGCAGACCCCAAGAGGAAGGAAUUUCUGGAUGACCUGUUUAGCUUCAUGCAAAAGAGGGGGACGCCAGUGAACCGCGUGCCCAUCAUGGCGAAGCAGGUGCUGGACCUCUACGCUCUGUUUCGUCUGGUGACCGCCAAGGGCGGCCUGGUGGAAGUCAUCAACCGCAAAGUGUGGCGGGAAGUCACGCGCGGCCUCAGCCUACCCACCACCAUCACCUCGGCCGCCUUCACUCUACGCACCCAGUACAUGAAGUACUUGUACCCGUACGAGUGCGAGACUCGAGCGCUCAGCUCCCCAGGGGAGCUCCAGGCCGCCAUAGACAGCAAUCGGCGCGAAGGCCGUCGCCAGGCUUACACCGCUACUCCACUCUUUGGCUUGGCAGGGCCGCCCUCUCGGGGCGCUGUGGGCCCUGCCUUGGGUGCCGGCCCCGCCCCUCGGGCGACCCCAUCCAGCCCCGGCCCCGCCCAGGGUUCCGCCUCCGGCCUGCCAGCGCACGCAUGCGCUCAGUUGAGUCCAAGCCCUAUUAAGAAAGAGGAGAGUGGAAUUCCAACCCCUCGCCUGGCACUGCCUGUGGGCCUGGCAUUGGGACCUACACGGGAGAAACUGGCACCAGAGGAGCCCCCAGAAAAGAGAGCUGUGCUGAUGGGGCCCAUGGACCCACCUCGACCUGGCAUGCCCCCCAGUUUCCUGCCCCGUGGCAAGGUUCCCCUGAGGGGUGAGGAGGGGUUUGUUGUGAGGGGGCUUCGGGACUGUACACUGAGGGAGGAUUGACCCAUCACCUGAUAGGUGUUAGAGACGGGGCAGACAGAUUCCUUUAUAGACAAUUGUGUGAGUAUACGUGUGGGGCUGAAGUGGAAUGGGGGCUGUCUACAGGGAUGGAGGGGGGAAAUUCUAUUAAUAAGUCUGAAGUCUGAUUCUCCAAAAUGUGAUUCCUCUGCCCCCUCCUGGACAGAAGAGCGGCUGGAUGGGCCUCUUAAUCUGGCAGGCAGUGGCAUCAGCAGUAUCAACAUGGCCCUAGAGAUCAACGGGGUGGUCUACACUGGUAUGGGUACUGCAGGCUGUCUACACUGGCAUGGGGUCAGGGGUAUUUAGGCUGGCAUGGGGAUUUUAGACUUCCUCUACUAGCAUGAAGUUCAGGGAUAUCUAAACUUGCAUGGGUAACGUGGGGUUCAGGGGAUUGCUAGACUGGCAUGGGUUAAAGGGGGUGCCUACAUGGCAUGGGAUCCAAGGCAUGACCUCUCUGGCAUGAGUACCAGGGGAUGUCUGCCUUGUCAUGGGCCUAUGUAUCAGCAUAAAUAUUAUUGUUUACCUGUUUGAGGGUAUCUACAUUAGCAAUGGAGUCUCUUACUGACCCAAGGAGCUUGUCCUCAUUGGUUUGUGGCAGGGGUACGUGUGUAGUGUUCUAGCAACCAGAACACUUACUUUUGUUCCCCUCUUCUGUUUCCAUAUCCUACCCCCUCCUGCUUGUUUUUGCCCUCUACCAUCUCCUCACCCCUUUGCCAGGUGUCCUCUUUGCCCGCCGCCAGCCUGUGCCAGCUUCCCAGGGUCCAACCAACCCUGCACCCCCACCCUCUACAGGGCCCCCUUCCAGCACCUUCUCCUAAGAGGUCCUACUUGAAACUAAGAGUCCCAGCCCCAUUGCUGAGUGGGGAAGAGUCCCCCUGCUUUGAUUCUUUCCGGCUGCCCACUCUGGGACCCAGCCCUGGGAGGGGACCAUACCUCCCAUGCCAUGUAGACUUAAAACCAAAGUUUCUUUUGAUGUUACACCUACCUCACUGUAAAGGGAGGGCACCUCCUCCCCGGCCAAUUCCAGCAGCAUCUACUAAAGUGUUCUUCCUCCAGUAACCACUAUCAUCUCCUCAUGUGUCCCUUCUGUCAAUGUCAUCUCUAGAACCCUACCCCUUUGAGUCAGCCUUGCUUCUCUUCAGGAGCCAAGUGAAAGGUUGGGUUGGGGUACUGUGAAAGAGACAUCCCUCAGGUCACAUCUAGACAAUAAAGCUGCGAUCCCUCCCUCUCUGAUGCCUCCUUUCUUGUUUGGGUAUGGGAGGUGGGGAGGAAUGAUGUGGAACAUGGGCUGCCUUCGGCCAGGGCCUUUCAGAGGGGAAGGCAGAAUAGCAAAGUUCCGUGAGAAUAGAAGAGCUCCGUCUCUUGAAUCAGACAACCUGAGUUCAAGUCCCAUUUCUGUCCCUAUAGUGCUGGGUGACCUUGGGCAAGUUACUUAAUCAACUGAACUUUAGAAGACUCCAAAAGUUUAUGGUAACUCACGGAGCCUUCUAAUGAUGUAUCUAUGGGAAUGGACCUACCCUGGAACACGUGCAAACUCAGGGAAUGGCGUGGGGAAAGCUCUUUGGCACCCGAAAAGGAAAGGUUGUCUUGACAACCAGGCGCUGGAAGCCGGGGAGGGCUGGUACAGAGCCGUUGCCAAGGGCUGCUCGUGCACUCGGAUUGGCUAGCCUUCCUAUUUGGACGGACGUCCCACCCUCUGGCCGUUUCCCGGCUGAAGUGGGUCGUU